rnacentral:rRNA from 1 species
CCCAGAGCCGCCAUCGGAGGUCAGACCUCAGAUCAGGCAGGACCACCCGCUGAACUUAAGCAUAUCAA